rnacentral:tRNA from 13 species
GCGGGCGUAGUUUAAUGGUAGAACAUGAGCUUCCCAAGCUUAUAGCGCGAGUUCGAUUCUCGUCGCCCGCUCCA